UGGGGAAUAUUGGACAAUGGGCGCAAGCCUGAUCCAGCCAUGCCGCGUGUGUGAAGAAGGCCUUCGGGUUGUAAAGCACUUUCAGUGGGGAGAAAGGCCUUUUACCUAAUACGUAAGAGGAUUGAUGUUACCCACAGAAGAAGCACCGGCUAACUCCGUGCCAGCAGCCGCGGUAAUACGGAGGGUGCAAGCGUUAAUCGGAAUUACUGGGCGUAAAGCGCACGUAGGUGGUUUGUUAAGCUAGCUGUGAAAUCCCCGGGCUCAACCUGGGCACUGCAGUUAGAACUGGCAAGCUAGAGUAGGGUAGAGGGGUGUGGAAUUCCAGGUGUAGCGGUGAAAUGCGUAGAUAUCUGGAGGAACAUCAGUGGCGAAGGCAACACCCUGGACUCAUACUGACACUGAGGUGCGAAAGCGUGGGGAGCAAACAGG
rnacentral:rRNA from 1 species